rnacentral:rRNA from 1 species
GCUUUCCCUCCAGAGUGGAUCCUGAGUACGGCGGAACACGUGAAAUUCCGUCGGAAUCCGGGAGGACCAUCUCCCAAGGCUAAAUACUCCCUAGUGACCGAUAGGGAACCAGUACCGUGAGGGAAAGGUGAAAAGCACCCCGGAAGGGGAGUGAAACAGUUCCUGAAACCGUGUGCCUACAAGCAGUUAGAGCCCGUUAAUGGGUGGAAGCGUGCCUUUUGUAGAAUGAACC